rnacentral:rRNA from 2 species
AAUUAUAUGUUAUUAUAUAUAACUAUUUCUGCUCAAUGGAGUACUAAAUAGCCGCAGUACUUUGACUGUGCAAAGGUAGCAUAAUCAGUUGACUUAUAAUUGAAGUCUGGCAUGAACGAAUUUACGGGUAACGACUGUCUUAGGGAAAAAUUAAAGAAUUUAAUUAUCAAGUGCAAAUGCUUGAGGACUUAAAAUAGACGAGAAGACCCUAGAAACUUUAAAUUUUGUUGGGGCGACAAAAUUACACGGAACUAAUUUUAAUAUUACGUGAAGCGUAGAAGAAAGAUUAAGUUACUCUAGGGAUAACAGCAUAAUUUAUAAUAGUUUGUGACCUCGAUGUUGGACUAGGUAAUGUAGUUUUUAGAAGAAACUAUUGGUUGCUCUGUUCGAGCAGUUUUACCUACAU